rnacentral:lncRNA from 10 species
AGCUGAGGCCUCCCACCAACAGCCACAUGAGGGAGCCAGAGUAGGAGUGGCUCCUCCAGCCCCAGUCGAACCUUCAGAUGUGACAGACUUGGCUGCUGACAGUUUGCAAUCUCAUGAGACCCUGAGCCAGAACCACCCAGCUAAAUCAGUCCUGGACUCCUGAUCAACAGAAAUGGUGUAGACCAAAGAGAGGCGUUUUGAACAUUAAGACGCUUUGCUGCUUCUCACCUGAAACACGUAACAGGAACACCAACCUCUUCAGCCGCGGGAAAUCUUCUUUGACACAAAACUCAAACCGAGUCAACCCAAAGUUCCAAGUUCUUUGCUUUCUCUUCUGUGUGUGUGUUGGUUUGUCCCAAAAGUCAGUUUGCAAGUUGAAACUUCAUGAAAUUACUCGUAGCAGAAAUAAAGUACAUUGUACAAAUCA